GUCCACGCCGUAACGAUGUCUGCUAGCCGUGGGAUCCUUGAGGUCUCGGUGGCGCAGCUAACGCGAUAAGCAGACCGCCUGGGAGUACGGCCGCAAGGUUAAACUCAAAUGAAUUGACGGGGCCCGCACAAGCGGUGGAGCAUGUGGUUUAAUUCGAUGCAACGCGAAGAACCUUACCAGGUCUUGACAUCCAGCGAACUGCUCAGAGAUGGGCGGGUGCCUUCGGGAGCGCUGAGACAGGUGCUGCAUGGCUGUCGU
rnacentral:rRNA from 1 species